rnacentral:rRNA from 1 species
AGAGUUUGAUCAUGGCUCAGGACGAACGCUGGCGGCGUGCUUAACACAUGCAAGUCGAGCGGAAAGGCCACUUCGGUGGUACUCGAGCGGCGAACGGGUGAGUAACACGUGAGUAAUCUGCCCCUGGCUUUGGGAUAGCCACCGGAAACGGUGAUUAAUACCGGAUAUGACGCUGUCACGCAUGUGGUGGUGUGGAAAGUUUUUCGGCCAGGGAUGUGCUCGCGGCCUAUCAGCUUGAUGGUGAGGUAAUGGCUCACCAUGGCUUCGACGGGUAGCCGGCCUGAGAGGGUGACCGGUCACACUGGGACUGAGACACGGCCCAGACUCCUACGGGAGGCAGCAGUGGGGAAUAUUGGACAAUGGGCGGAAGCCUGAUCCAGCAACGCCGCGUGGGGGAUGACGGCCUUCGGGUUGUAAACCUCUUUCAGCAGGGACGAAGCGCAAGUGACGGUACCUGCAGAAGAAGCACCGGCCAACUACGUGCCAGCAGCCGCGGUAAUACGUAGGGUGCGAGCGUUGUCCGGAAUUAUUGGGCGUAAAGGGCUCGUAGGCGGUUUGUCGCGUCGGGAGUGAAAACGCCGUGCUUAACACGGCGCUUGCUUUCGAUACGGGCAGACUAGAGGUAUUCAGGGGAGAACGGAAUUCCUGGUGUAGCGGUGAAAUGCGCAGAUAUCAGGAGGAACACCGGUGGCGAAGGCGGUUCUCUGGGAAUGACCUGACGCUGAGGAGCGAAAGUGUGGGGAGCGAACAGGAUUAGAUACCCUGGUAGUCCACACC